CCUACGGGAGGCAGCAGUGGGGAAUAUUGGGCAAUGGGCGCAAGCCUGACCCAGCAACGCCGCGUGAAGGAAGAAGGCUUUCGGGUUGUAAACUUCUUUUGUCAGGGACGAAGCAAGUGACGGUACCUGACGAAUAAGCCACGGCUAACUACGUGCCAGCAGCCGCGGUAAUACGUAGGUGGCAAGCGUUAUCCGGAUUUAUUGGGUGUAAAGGGCGUGUAGGCGGGAAUGCAAGUCAGAUGUGAAAACUAUGGGCUCAACCCAUAGCCUGCAUUUGAAACUGUAUUUCUUGAGUGCUGGAGAGGCAGACGGAAUUCCUAGUGUAGCGGUGAAAUGCGUAGAUAUUAGGAGGAACACCAGUGGCGAAGGCGGUCUGCUGGACAGCAACUGACGCUGAGGCGCGAAAGCGUGGGGAGCAAACAGGAUUAGAUACCCCGGUAGUC
rnacentral:rRNA from 1 species